rnacentral:rRNA from 1 species
UACGGGGGGGGCAAGCGUUGUUCGGAAUUACUGGGCGUAAAGGGCUCGUAGGUGGCCAACUAAGUCAGACGUGAAAUCCCUCGGCUUAACCGGGGAACUGCGUCUGAUACUGGAUGGCUUGAGUUUGGGAGAGGGAUGCGGAAUUCCAGGUGUAGCGGUGAAGUGCGUAGAUAUCGUAAGGAAGACCAGUGGCGAAGGCGGUUCUCUGGACAGUUCCUGACGCUGAGGCACGAAGGCCAGGGGAGCAAACGGG